rnacentral:rRNA from 1 species
AUCAACGCUGGCGGCGCGCUUAACACAUGCAAGUCGCACGAGAAAGUGGAGCAAUCCAUGAGUACAGUGGCGUACGGGGUGUGUAACACGUGGAUCAUCUACCUUCUAGUGGGGAAUACCUCCGGGAAACUGGAGACAAUACCGCAUAAGCUCGUAAGAGGAAAGCAGCAAUGCGCUGGAAGAGGAGUCCGCGGCUGAUUAGCUAGUUGGCGGGGGUAACGGCCCACCAAGGCGAAGAUCGGUAGCCGGCCUGAGAGGGCACACGGCCACACUGGCACUGAAACACGGGCCAGACUCCUACGGGAGGGCAGCAGUGGGGAAUCUUGCACAAUGGAGGAAACUCUGAUGCAGCGACGCCGCGUGAGCGAUGAAGCCCUUCGGGGUGUGUAAAGCUCUUUCGACGGGAACGAUGAUGACGGUACCCGAAGAAGAAGCUGCGGCUAACUACGUGCCAGCAGCCGCGGGUAAUACGUAGGCAGCAAGCGUUGUUCGGAAUUACUGGGCGUCGUAAAGAGUGUGUAGGCGGUGUGUUCCAAGUCUGGUGUGAAAUCUCCCGGCUUAACUGGGAGGGUUGCAUUAGAAACUGGAAUGCUAGAGGGUGGGAGAGGUAAGCGGAAUUCCUGGUGGUGUUAGCGGUGAAAUGCGUAGAUAUCAGGAGGAACACCUGUGGUGUAGACAGCUUACUGGACCAUUUCUGACGCUGAGACACGAAAGCGUGGGUAGCAAACAGGAUUAGAUACCCUGGUAGUCCACGCCCUAAACGAUGCAUACUUGGUGUGAGCGAUUCAUUUCGUUCGUGCCGGAGCUAACGCGUUAAGUAUGCCGCCUGGGGGGAGUACGGUCGCAAGGCUGAAACUCAAAGGAAUUGACGGGGGCCCGCACAAGCGGUGGAGCAUGUGGUUCAAUUCGACGCGACGCGAAGAACCUUACCUGGGCUCGAACGGCUAUGGACAAUCCUUGGAAACAGGGACUUCUCGCAAGAGACCUGUAGUCGAGGUGCUGCAUGGCUGUCCGUCAGCUCGUGUCGUGAGAUGUUGGGUUAAGUCCCGCAACGAGCGCAACCCCUGUCCUGUGUUGCCAUCAUUUAGUUGGGAACUCUCAGGAGACCGCCAGCGAUAAGCUGGAGGAAGGUGGGGAUGAUGUCAAGUCAUCAUGGCCUUUAUGUCCAGGGCUACACACGUGCUACAAUGGCCGGUACAAAGCGCUGCAAACCCGCGAGGGGGAGCUAAUCGCAAAAAACCGGUCUCAGUUCGGAUCGCAGGCUGCAACUCGCCUGCGUGAAGCUGGAAUCGCUAGUAAUGCCGUAUCAGAACGAUGGCGGUGAAUACGUUCCCGGGCCUUGUACACACCGCCCGUCACAUCACGAAAGUGGAUUGUACUAGAAGUCCUAAUCAAACAGGCCCAAGGUAUGAUUCAUGAUUGGGGUG